AUGUCAACUCUUCUGAGAAGCCCCUCCAGUGAAAGAGUGAAAGAGAAGCUCCUUUAUUUGUUUAUACAGUCUAACCUGGGAUCCCUGGGUGGCGCAGCGGUUUGGCGCCUGCCUUUGGCCCAGGGCGCGAUCCUGGAGACCCGGGAUCGAAUCCCACGUCAGGCUUCCGGUGCAUGGAGCCUGCUUCUCCCUCUGCCUGUGUCUCUGCGCCUGUCUCUCUCUCUCUGUGACU
rnacentral:lncRNA from 1 species